rnacentral:misc_RNA from 1 species
AAAGUCGUAACAAGGUUUCCGUAGGUGAACCUGCGGAAGGAUCAUUAACACGUAUCCACGUAUCAACCCCUCUGUGAAAUCUUACUCUCUUGAAAGGCUUGGUCUUAGUGUGUUGCUCGUUAUAAGUCCUAAUGAUGGAGGCUUCGGCCUAGGGCUUGAGUAGCAUGUGUUUGACGAUCAGCCGUCACUUUACCAUCGUUGGCAACCCAACCCUUUUUAAACCCCUUUGUACUUUCUGUACUGAACCAAUUCCUUCGACGCUCUAACGAGUGACGAUAGAUAUUACGAAACUAAAGAACAACUCUUAGCAACGGAUAUCUUGGUUCCC